GGGAAAAGGUACAUGACAUUUUAAUCUGUGUUAUGGGAAAAGGUACAUGACAUUAUAAUCUGUGUUAUGGGAAAAGGUACAUGACAUUUUAAUCUGUGUUAUGGGAAAAGGUACAUGACAUUUUAAUCUGUGUUAUGGGAAAAGGUACAUGACAUUUUAAUCUGUGUUAUGGGAAAAGGUACAUGACAUUUUAAUCUGUGUUAUGGGAAAAGGUACAUGACAUUUUAAUCUGUGUUAUGGGAAAAGGUACAUGACAUUUUAAUCUGUGUUAUGGGAAAAGGUACAUGACAUUUUAAUCUGUGUUAUGGGAAAAGGUACAUGACAUUUUAAUCUGUGUUAUGGGAAAAGGUACAUGACAUUUUAAUCUGUGUUAUGGAGAAAUGUACAUGACAUUUUAAUAUGUUUUAUGGUGAAAUGUACAUGACAUUUUAAUCUGUGUUAUGGAGAAAUGUACAUGACAUUUUAAUCUCGGUUAUGAAGAAAGGUACAUGACAUUUUAAUCUGUGUUAUGGAGAAAUGUACAUGACAUUUUAAUCUGUGUUAUGGAGAAAUGUACAUGACAUUUUAAUCUCGGUUAUGAAGAAAGGUACAUGACAUUUUAAUCUGUGUUAUGGAGAAAUGUACAUGACAUUUUAAUCUGUGUUAUGGAGAAAUGUACAUGACAUUUUAAUCUGUGUUAUGGAGAAAUGUACAUGACAUUUUAAUCUGUGUCUGUAUUUCCUCUCUCUCUGAUGAUUUAUGUUGGUCUCUGGAUCCCUCAUUACCAUAAGGCUUGUCCUACUUCCCAAAUGGCACCCUAUUCCCUAUAUAGUGCACUAGUAUCAUCAGAGCCCUAUGGACACUAUUCCCUAUAUAGUGCACUAACGUUGCUCAGCUGAAGGAGACAGGAGCAACACUACACAUGUUGGAGAGGCCUCCAGAUGUAUUGCUCUCUCUAGCUUCCCUUACUUUCUCUCUCUCUCCCCCCUCUCUCUCUCUUUCUCUCCCUCUCUCUCCC